UCUAGGUAAACUGGGAAGGGUGAGUGCACAAUACACUGAGGCUCUGCUCCCGGGGCUGGGGCUAUGCUGGGGGCCGUGACGUGUCUGUGGCCUUGUAUUUAUGAAGGCUUUCCCUGUUUCCCAAUAUUGUACCUGCUUGCCGAAGUGUCUGCAGGUUUGAGUCCACAAUACUACGACAGCCUCACUCUAGCCUUGACCUUAUGACACAUGCAGGGCCUCUCUAGCGUGUCUCUGCCUCUUCUCGAGGCUGCUGGAACCUCACAUGGUCUCCCUGUCCUCAGAGCCUUUGGGCUCUCCUAUUGUAAUCGUCUCUGGAGGCUCUUGAGAUGCCAGGAGUUCCAGCUGCUUGCCAUAUAGCUUGCCUUUGCUUCACAUGUCACAUGACACAAAGCGUCCUUUGGACGCACAGACAACAUUCGCUCCGGGUUUCGAGCCACUCUAAAGCACUGGGACCUAGAGCAAGCAUUUGUCUCUGGAGGCUGACUCACUUCAGAAGUGAGAGUCUCUAGAUUUGGGUCUUCAUUGUGAAUCUUUUUGGGUGGCUUCUGCUGAGAGGUUUGUAAAGAUAGCACCCCUGUAAUUGCAGCAGUAGGGAGGCUGAGGCUGGAGGCUGGAGAGUUGGGGCCUGCCUAGAAUACAUGGUCAAGACGCUGACUCUAACAACAAAGUACACCCCCAGAGGUUUGAAGCACCUAGUAUCUGGUUCAACAUUCUGAAAAGGGGCUAGUCUCACUCUAUGCUUUGAUAAAUACCCUGGACGAUGAGAGGAUGCGGGUGCGGCAGGAAAUCUGGCAUUUGCUAAGCCACGUAUAAAUGCCAGGCACUGCUAAGAAUGGUUCCAUUUUAAAGAUGAGGAAAAGGAGGCUGGGGGCUCGAGAGAUGUCUCGACAGUUUCAAGCAUUUAUUGCUCUUGCUAAGCACCCAGGUUCAAUUCCCAGCACCGAUACAACUGCUGUUCUGACCUCUUAGACAUCAGGCACGCAUGUAUCCAUGCGUACAGCAAACCUUCAUAAACAUAGC
rnacentral:lncRNA from 1 species